AUUGAACGCUGGCGGCAUGCCUUACACAUGCAAGUCGAACGGUAACGGGUCCUUCGGGAUGCCGACGAGUGGCGAACGGGUGAGUAAUAUAUCGGAACGUGCCCAGUAGUGGGGGAUAACUGCUCGAAAGAGCAGCUAAUACCGCAUACGACCUGAGGGUGAAAGGGGGGGAUCGCAAGACCUCUCGCUAUUGGAGCGGCCGAUAGAAGAUUAGAUAGUGGGUGGGGUAAAGGCCUACCAAGGCAACGAUCUGUAGUUGGUCUGAGAGGACGACCAGACACACUGGGACUGAGACACGGCCCAGACUCCUACGGGAGGCAGCAGUGGGGAAUUUUGGACAAUGGGCGCAAGCCUGAUCCAGCAAUGCCGCGUGCAGGAAGAAGGCCUUCGGGUUGUAAACUGCUUUUGUCAGGGAAGAAAUCUUCUGGGCUAAUACCCCGGGAGGAUGACGGUACCUGAAGAAUAAGCACCGGCUAACUACGUGCCAGCAGCCGCCGCCG
rnacentral:rRNA from 1 species